UUUAGAGGAAGUAAAAGUCGUAACAAGGUCUCCGUAGGUGAACCUGCGGAGGGAUCAUUACAAGUGACCCCGGUCUAACCACCGGGAUGUUCAUAACCCUUUGUUGUCCGACUCUGUUGCCUCCGGGGCGACCCUGCCUUCGGGCGGGGGCUCCGGGUGGACACUUCAAACUCUUGCGUAACUUUGCAGUCUGAGUAAAUUUAAUUAAUAAAUUAAAACUUUUAACAACGGAUCUCUUGGUUCUGGCAUCGAUGAAGAACGCAGCGAAAUGCGAUAAGUAAUGUGAAUUGCAGAAUUCAGUGAAUCAUCGAAUCUUUGAACGCACAUUGCGCCCCUUGGUAUUCCAUGGGGCAUGCCUGUUCGAGCGUCAUUUGUACCUUCAAGCUUUGCUUGGUGUUGGGUGUUUGUCUCGCCUCUGCGCGCAGACUCGCCUCAAAACAAUUGGCAGCCGGCGUAUUGAUUUCGGAGCGCAGUACAUCUCGCGCUUUGCACUCAUAACGACGACGAUCCAAAAGUACAUUUUUACACUCUUGACCUCGGAUCAGGUAGGGAUACCCGCUGAACUUAAGCAUAUCAAUAAG
rnacentral:rRNA from 1 species